GAAGAUCCUAGAACUUACCACCAGGAUCACUGAGCUGCUGAGUGGAGAGGUUCCUAUAAGGUGUCAGGAUGUCACUGUCUAUUUCUCCAUGGAGGAGUGGGAGUAUUUAGAAGAACACAAGGAUCUGUACAUGGACGUCAUGAUGGAGAAUCACCAGUCCCUCACAUCACCGGAUGGAUCCAGUCAGAGAAAUCCACCAAAGAGAUGUCCCAGUCCUCUGUAUUCCCAGGA